AUCACGUUAAAACACCGAUUCCUGUACCACCACUGAAGUUAAGUGAAGUCGAUCCUGGUUAGUACUUAGAUGGGUGACCGCUUGAGAAUACCAGGUGCUGCAAG